GAUGAACGCUGGCGGCGUGCCUAAUACAUGCAAGUCGAGCGAACAGACGAGGAGCUUGCUCCUUCGACGUUAGCGGCGGACGGGUGAGUAACACGUAGGUAACCUACCUAUAAGACUGGGAUAACUUCGGGAAACCGGAGCUAAUACCGGAUAAUAUUUCGAACCGCAUGGUUCGAUAGUGAAAGACGGCUUUGCUAUCACUUAUAGAUGGACCUGCGCCGCAUUAGCUAGUUGGUAAGGUAACGGCUUACCAAGGCAACGAUGCGUAGCCGACCUGAGAGGGUGAUCGGCCACACUGGAACUGAGACACGGUCCAGACUCCUACGGGAGGCAGCAGUAGGGAAUCUUCCGCAAUGGGCGAAAGCCUGACGGAGCAACGCCGCGUGAGUGAUGAAGGUCUUCGGAUCGUAAAACUCUGUUAUUAGGGAAGAACAAACGUGUAAGUAACUGUGCACGUCUUGACGGUACCUAAUCAGAAAGCCACGGCUAACUACGUG
rnacentral:rRNA from 1 species